GCUUGUCUAGCUCAGUUGGCAGAGCGCAAGACUCUUAACCCUAAGGUCGUGGGUUCGAGCCCCACUGUGAACA
rfam:Zea mays cultivar B73 chromosome 9, whole genome shotgun sequence.